rnacentral:misc_RNA from 1 species
UGUUUUGGUUUUUCAGCUGAGAAGAAGGAGAGAAGAGGAACGUCGACUGUGACCUCGAUUUUCUCCGAUUUAUCUGCGUUCAAGAGGAUAAACAUGCGCAAUGACUUCUGGACUGGAGUCUAUGAAGAAGAAGGUGUACCACGCAGCAAAGGAAGGACUCUCGAUAUCCUUGUAUGCUCACCUCUCUGUCACGCCCCGGGAGGAAUGUCAGGAGCUGUUAGGACAGGUUGUGGAAGAAGAUGGCCAGAAAUGUACUCCACUAUUGAUAUCAGCUCGGAACGGCCAUGAAAAGGCUGUUAGAACUCUCUUAAAGUUUACUCCAGACCUUGAGCAAGAGGGAACUGUCAAAUUUGACGGCUAUGUAAUUGAGGGGGCAAGUCCGCUUUGGUGUGCUGCAGGUGCAGGUCAUCUAGGAGUAGUGAAAAUGCUGGUGCGAAAUGGGGCAGACGUGAACCACCCAACGAAAACAAACUCGACCCCUCUUAGAGCCGCAUGCUUUGAUGGACGCUUAGACAUUGUGAAGUACCUGACAGAUCACUGUGCUAAUAUUCAUAUAACUAAUAAAUACAACAACACUUGCUUGAUGAUAGCAGCUUAUAAAGGGCAUGUUGAUGUUGUACAGUUUUUGUUAGAACUUGGUGCGAACCCAGAUGAAAAGGCCCACUGUGGUGCGACAGCCCUCCACUUUGCGGCUGAGUGUGGGCAUGUGAAGAUUGUGAAAGAACUAUUGGCGCAUGGAGCUAAAAUUACCAAAAAUGAACAUGGCAUGACUCCCCUAAUUGCUGCGGCUGAGAGAACAAGAGCAGAUGUCGUUGAAUAUUUGAUAUCAAGACCCGAUGUUACAACAGAAGAAAAAGUGGAUGCUCUUGAGCUGCUCGGAGCAUCAUAUGCUAGUGAUAAGGACAAUUAUGAUAUAGAAUUAGCCUACAAAUACAUGAUGCUUGGUAUGAAGGAAAGAUAUAGUGAUGAAGAGAAUAUUAUAAGAAAACCAAAAACUGAACCAGUUCCAGCAUAUGAAAAUCGUAUCGAGUGCGAAACGGUAGAGGAGCUAGAGGCCAUUCUUCAUAUUCCGGCAACUCUUCAUAUGGAGAGCUUAGCCAUCAGAGAACGAAUUCUUGGCCCUCAUAAUCCUGAGGUUCCUCACCCGGUUAUAUUCAGAGGAGCUGUAUUUGCUGAUAAUGCUCGAUUUGAUCGGUGUUUACAGCUCUGGAUCCAUGCUUUAAGAUUAAAGCAGCUAAAUAAAGUGUGUGUUAUGAAGGAUCUCUUGAGAUUUGCACAGGUAUUUUCACAAAUGUUACAUGUUGGUGUGCAGCUAGAAUUUGAAGCUGUUCACGAAGUUUUAGACGCCACGGUCAUAGAACUUCAAAGAAACCAAGAAAAAAUUCAGUGUCCUGGUCCAAAGGAUGAUGUAGAGGCAAUAAAGGAUGAAAUGGAGAGCAACAUGAUAACUGCCCUGUACCUUAUCAUGAUUGCCGUCUGUGUGGCCAAAGGUCGGUCCACAUCUGCUCAACUCAAUGGUGGCGGAAAUGGUGGCAUCGGAAUCAACAAUGGGAUUAGGGGUAUAAACGGGGGUGUUGGCCUUGUGGGUAUUGGGGUGGGGGCGCUUGAAGGCGGGGAUGCCAUUAGGCCUUCUUUGCAACAGAACAACCAGACUGUUGAAAAGGAAUCUCAAGUAUACCAGACAGUUUACAAUCUUGUGAGAGUGCAAGCCAGAACUAGGAGUGGCCAGACACUUCUACACUUGGCUGUCAAUCCUGAUACUCCUGUAGAUGACUUUCACACAAACCAUAUCUGCAGAUUUCCAUGUGCAACAACUACAAAACUCCUUAUUGCAUGUGGUGCCGAUGUCAAUAGUAUGGAUAGCAACCGUAACACCCCCUUACACCUUAUUGUUCCUUACCAGAAGCCUAUAAGUGAUUUUUUGACUUUACACAAUAUCAUAAUGGCACUAAUAGAGAAUGGUGCUCAUAUGGAUACUGUCAACCAGAUGGGAGCAACGCCUUUUGAUUCUGCAACGACAGGUGUUGCAGAGAUCAUCCUUAGAACACAGAAGAAAUUGAGUCUCAAAUGUCUAGCGGCAAAAGUCAUCAAAGUCAAUAGCAUCCCCUACAAGGGUCAAGUUCCUCGUCUUCUUGAGGCUUUCAUUGAGCUGCACGGCCCUGGCCAUGUGGAUGGGCUAGCCACAAGGCCAAGCAAAAGCGAGCAUCAACUGUAAAAUCUGUUGUCCAAUAGUCACCAUAAAGUCUAUCUACAAUAUAAACAAAGUAUAAGUCCAGACCAGCAGUAGGAGAAGGAUAGAUGUUUCAACAUAGGACCCUGAGAAACUACAAGUGUUGUGUAGGAGUUCAUAUUGGUUUAAUUCAUUUAUUUACAGACAGUUCAUGUUAGUAUGCAAAGCUGAAAUUGUCAUUAUGCAUGUAUGGCUAGUGUACAGUGACAGCACAUUUUAUACAGAUUUCCUAUUAACAUUUCAGCAUUGCAUUACUAAAGUCCAGAUUUUCCUCUGUAAUAUCAUUUGAAUCACCUUUUGAAAUUCUCAUACAGCAGUUCAUUUGUUCAGGUGUUCAGAGUUACAUGUAUUUCCAAAGUUAAUCUUAUUGAAAUUGACUUUGUUUUAUUUUAGAAUGAUGUAGUCUUGGAGGUCUGUUCAUUUAUCAUGUUUUCAGUCCAGACGUCAUUGUAGUUUCUAAAGGACAAAUCAUUUUUUUACAAUGAUAGUUAAAGCUCUUUGGAAAGGUGUGUAUUUUGUUAUUUAAAAGAUAAAGG